UUUGUUAGAUAAAUCAUUCAUGAUAGUAUCAAAUUCUAGUUCCCUUCUCUCUCUCUCUGACAACAUUUCUUCCUUAUUACUUAAAGAUUCUGAUGUUUUCAUAUGUUCAAGCAAAGAGAUUAUAUUAUCUGAAUAUGUUAUCCACUCACAGUAUUGAUGUUGUAAUCUUUCCUUACAAUCUAAUAUUUCUUUCUGCUGCCUAAAGCGAUGGCUUGCUUGACUCAUAUCUAAAAUUCUCUGCCAUGACUUCUGAUAUUUAGGUUUCAAGGAAUCUAGUUUAUCUUGCCAGAAGGACAACAUUUUUGAGGUAGGUUUAGAUAUUCUGCUCUUUUGUGAGGAAGAAGCAGACAUCUUUAAGUCUUCUGAAGUUUGUGUCACUUUAUAUUAGACUGAAUUGCUUUUGGACAGAAAGGACUGAAUAGCCUAUUCUCCGUUACUUUGGAAUGUAGGUCUUUUAUUCUCCUGUUGCUGUCCGUUACUAAUAGUCCCUUAAAUAAAGUGAUCACUAACUUUUAAGAUUCUCAGUCCUUUUACUGAGACUUAAAGCUUUUUAGACUUAAAAAUAACUAUUGUGGUCCUGAAAGCCACAUUUUCCUCCGAAAGGGCUUCCCUCAGGUUCCUUCAAAAUGGCGCUGCCCUCUAUGACUGCACUCUCUCUACAGUCUAAAUGGCUGCUUAACUCCUUCUUCUUCUGAGGUAGUUUUCACUUCUCCUCAGGAAGGUCAAAAGAAAGAAAUCAACUGCUACUUGGGAAGCUUAAAGAAAAUACAUUUUUACUGGGGAAGCUCAAAGGAAAAUAAAUUCACUUUUAUUCAGGAAGCUUGAAGGAAAGAAAUUCACUUUUACUUGGGAAGGUCAAAGGAAAGAAAUUCACUGUUCUGCCUCCAUGCUUAAUUAAAUGAACUGGAAGGACUCAUAGCACGAAGGACAGAUUGGAGACUGUAGUUGUGAAACAAAAUAUUUUAUUAAUAGACAAAAUUGAUCUCUUUUCCUCUUGAUGCCACUAUGAAGUCUCUUGUGAGGAAAGAAAUCUUUGAGUCUAUGCAGUUCUGGAUAGAUAUUGCCACAGAGUAUAAAGUCUUGUUAUGACUGGAUUCUUUGUAUCUUUGAGAUGACUUCAAUGCAGUGUUGUUGACAUGGCUUUCUCUAUUGCUGUAGUCUAUGGCUUUUUAAUCUAAUUUGAAUACAGUUCCAACGUGA